ACAACCAAUAUCCGAGUUGAAGUAGUAAACAUUUACCCAAAAAUCAAGAAAAAGCUGAAAAACCCACCUUGAUAACUCCGAGCACCGGCGCGACGUCAAGAACAGCGAAGUCGCACGCUUGCCCGGUCUCCUCGCAAUGCCCCGGCGUCAAAUACGUGCUCGAACGAUCCCGCGGCGCGACGUCGACGACGAAACUCCAAUUAAACCCCUUCCUAGUCUAAGAUUGGAUGGUGAGUGAGAGAGAGGUAGUAGUAGUAGCAGAGGAACUCCCUCUCUCUGUCUUCACAAGACUAAAUAGAGAGAGGGAUGGCCGGUGAUACAAACGAGGGCAAGAAAUUACACAAUUAGCCCUCUACCUACCAUCUUGUACCGGUACACGAACUCUUGUACCGGUACAAGAGCCAACCCGAGAGCUGCUAAGCCUCUGCGCGAUGGUUGUACCGGUACAGCCACUAAGCUUGUACCGGUACAGCAAGCAGAGAAUGCUGCUGUUUGCAGAAUUCUUCGCGAUAAGCUGCCCUCGCGUCGCACGGAGUCCGUUUUACGUCUAUUUGACGCCAACGCGACUCGGACUUGUCCCGACACUCUCCAGAGCUGUCGACAAGCCUCCAGUCGAAC
rnacentral:lncRNA from 1 species